CAAACAUAUGCCUUCUUCUUUCCAUCAGGCCUGAUCAGAGGGUUGACCUUGGCCACAUCAAUGUCAUAGAGCUUCUUCACAGCCUGUUUGAUCUGGUGCUUGUUGGCCUUGACAUCCACAAUGAACACCAGUGGAAGAGCACACGUCUGUAC